AUAAAAUGGAAAUCUCGCUGUCGUGUUUUCAUUCUUUCUUGUGUUUUCACUUGUUCCGCUGCCAGCGGUACAACAACCACAGUUGCCUUUCAAUUUCCUUUCACCCCUGCACGUCCCUCUUCCUUCUGUCCGCGAUUUGUUCUCCCAUUCUCUCUCGCCUCUCCCUUCCGCCCCGUGUUCUUCUCUUUGAUGCGCUGUGUUCUCCUCCUGAUCUCGUUCGCUUCCUCCGGUGAGAUCUCAUGAGCAUCGCCAGAGUGAGAGGAUUUCUAGGAGAGACAGCGCUCCAUUUCUUCUGCUGCUUAUGCAUGUUCACAGUCCCACUUCCGAAAUGUGGCCUUUGAUUGCUCACCGCCAGUGGUUCCCAUCACAAGUAGGCUUUUCCCAUCUCUUGCUCGUUAUUCACCAUACAAACUUAUUGGGACCUCUACAACGCCGGACAUCAGGCCCUUCCUUCAAAGAGAAAAUGAUCUCCACCCAUUCCCCGCUAACCUGCUGCCAGCCAUUGUUGACGAGUUCUCCCCCCACCCGUACAUUGCCGAGACAACAGGCAUACACAGUACCCUCCUUGCCUUUUGCCGCUUAAAAACGACAGUACAUUAAUCCCGCCACAUCCAGUAGGGCGUGGGUGAAUCUCCUCACAGGCGGCUAUUAGGUUCCCCCAGUUUGUUCCCUCAUCAGUUUUAACUGCUUUUGCCCCAAUGUUUCUUAUAUUUUCAUAUUCCAUCAUAUUAUUCGACCACAGUUAAUUUAAGUCAUCGCAGCCUGUAGCCUCGACUUUUUGAUCUAGACUGUCAGUGUUCUUGCCACUAAUGUUAUUGUUGGGUGUCGUAUUGACUAGCGCAAUCUGAAAUGCACAUUGAACAUCUCUUUUAGCUGGAAAUGGAUCAUGUUAGACUCACAGUUAUUUCCAAUUCUAUCAAUGUUAGUAUUUAGCUUCUGCUUCUUAAGUGAAACCGGUUUUCCAUGGUCAAGUAUAUUUUCAUCUAUUUCUGCAAGGUUAUGUGUUCAUACAUUUAAUUAUAUUUCAAUUUGCUUUUAUGUUUGCAACAUUAAAUGCUAGAUUUUUUUUUGAAGGGUUGUUUCUAUAGGCAUCUUUUUUUUUUUUAAUGAAUCUUCUUCUUGCAUAGCGGAUAUCGAACUGUUCUUUUGAUCGAGGCAUUGAUGCUUCAUUCUCUUUUCAUAAAUAGUUACCAUCUCAAUUAAUGAUUCAAUCGACUAUCGUAUUCUAAAUUUGUUUACUUUCUAUUUCUUUUAUUUGCCGAGUCGCAAGUCUCUUGUAGAUUCUGUCCUAUAAUUUUUUUGUUAUGAUGUAAAAGUUACUAUGUUUUCUUAUCUUUCCCUAAUGCAAAGGAUUGGAUUAAGAACUAAUACUCUUCUUGAUUGGCCGGAAAAAUGAUCUUCAAUUUCAUAAGCUCUGCAAGACCCCAUUUUCAGGAUGGUGAUCAAUUCCGUUCCCGGUGCUUAGAGGGCCCUCCAGAUUCUUUAAAAUCUCAGAGGACGCGUGAGGAAUAGUCUCAUGUUAUCAAAUCUUUCAUUUAACAUAAAAUGUGGUGGAAAUUGAUAAGACUUUCCCAGUUUAUGUAAUUUGAAAAAAGCUUUGCAGAAUACAACCGACGGACCACAAGAUCUACUUUUCCAUGAGAUCCACUUCGGAGAUCCCUUUGCUCUUGAUGGUCUCUAAAGCCCCAGCUUAGAUAUAUGCAAGUUGAAAUUUAUGAGUGACUUCUUACAUCGAUGAAUUGCUCUAUGAUACUUACCAAAAUUAAAGAACUUUCUGUGUCAAAUUCUCAUGUAACAUCGAAUAAAUCUGAUUAUAUGUUAUUUCACUCUUGGUCACACAUUGUUGUUGCAGUUCUAGCUUGUCUGGGACAGUGAAUGGCUACACUUUACCCAUUCAAUUUCAUCUCUUUAUCAAACCUCCAGGCCAGUUAAGAUUCAGCGAGUAGCCGAAAGUUCACCGGGUAUAUAUCUUCCGUGCCCCCGUCCAUUAGCCGUUUCGCGAUUAUGAUGUUUGUGGCAUCGGAUGGAUGGUAAGGGUCCCAGAAGACAAACUUUGACCGGUCCGGGCAGACUUUAGAAGACGGCCCGCAAGGGAUCAGACCCCCGAACUUACCCGCUGCGUAACAGCACGAUGAGUCUGCACUCUCAAAUCCUGCACAGAAGGUUCAACUUUCUUAUUGGCUUUGCCUUUAAUUUGAAGAACGCCUCUGGUUCUCGGCUUCUGAUUAAGAAUACUUUCCUGUUUUUUGAGAAACAUUUAAUCGAUGAAUUUUACGGUUUUCCUAAUUAAAUAUCGAAUCGAUCACGUCC